AUCCAGCUGACGAGUCCCACAAUAGGGCGGAAUCUGCGUCCUGGAU
rnacentral:hammerhead_ribozyme from 1 species